GGAGAGGUGGCAGAGCGGUUGAAUGCGCCGGUCUCGAAAACCGGUUCGGGUCUUUCGGUCCGACGAGGGUUCGAAUCCCUCCCUCUCCG
rnacentral:tRNA from 1 species